rnacentral:misc_RNA from 1 species
AACGGUCUAUACCUGCGGUACCUGCGGAGGGAUCAUUAAAGAGUUUAACUACUCAAACCAUUGUGAACCUUACCUCAACCGUUGCUUCGGCGGGCGGGCCCGGGCCAAGCCCGGCGCCCCCCCGGCCCCUCGCGGGCGCCCGCCGGAGGUUAACCGAACCCUUGAAUUGUAUGGCCUCUCUGAGUCUUCUGUACUGAAUAAGUCAAAACUUUUAACAACGGAUCUCUAGAUCGGAAGAGC